rnacentral:rRNA from 1 species
GACGAACGCUGGCGGCGUGCUCUACACAUGCCAGUCGAACGGUGAAGGUGGAGCUUGCUCCGCCGGAUCAGUGGCGAACGGGUGAGUAACACGUGGGAAACCUGCCCCUAACUUUGGGAUAACUACUCGAAAGAGUAGCUAAUACCGGAUACGAAGUCUGUAGGCAUCUACGGAUUUGGAAAGUUUUUCGGUUAGGGAUGGGCCCGCGGCCUAGCAGCUUGUUGGUGAGGUAGUGCCUCACCAAGGCGACGACGGUUAGCCGGCCUGCGAGGGCGACCCGCCGCCCGGGGACCGAGACAGGGCACAGACUACUACGGGAGGCAGCAGUGGGGAAUAUCGCGCAGUGGGCGAAAGCCAGACGCAGCAACGCCGCGUGCGGGGUGAAGGCCUUCGGGUUGGAAACCGCUUUCAGCAGGGAAUAAGCGAAAGUGGCGGUACCUGCAGAGGAAGCACCUGCUAACUACGUGCCUGCAGCCGCCGUAA